AAAAAAGCCAUGAGGUUGAUCAGUAAUCAGAGUCUCAACAUCUUUUUUACAUCGUGGCGACCAAAACUGAAUGCAAUAUUCCAAGGGUGGCCUUACCAAGGCCUUAUAAAGUGGUAUUAACACUUCACGUGAUCUUGAUUCUAUCCCUCUGUUUAUGCAGUCCUCUGUUUGGUCACAUAAAUGUGGGGAAUGGCGUUUCCAAUGCUCAAAAGUUCAAAUCUGCAUCAUAAGUAGCCCCCAGGGGCACUGAAAAAAGUGACAUGACCGUUUUUCACACUUACGACCGUUGCGGCAUCCCCAUGGUCACAUGAUCAAAAUUCAGACGCUUGGCAACUGACUCAUAGUUACGAUGGGUGCAGUAUCCCGGGGUCAUGUGAUCACGUUUUGCGACCUUCUGACAAGCAAAGUCAAUGGGGAAGCCAGAUUCACUUAACAACUGAGUUACUAACUUAACAACUGCAGUGAUUCACUUAACAACUAUGGCAAGAAAGGUCAUAAAAUGAAGUAAAAUUGACUUA